UACGUAGGUGACAAGCGUUGUCCGGAUUUACUGGGCGUAAAGAGCGCGCAGGCGGUCGUUCAAGUCGAGUGUGAAAGCCCCCGGCUCAACUGGGGAGGGUCAUUCGAUACUGAUCGACUCGAAGGCAGGAGAGGGUAGUGGAAUUCCCGGUGUAGUGGUGAAAUGCGUAGAGAUCCGGAAGAACACCGGUGGCGAAGGCGGCCUGCUGGGCAGUUGCUGACACUGAGGCGCGACAGCGUGGGGAGCAAACAGG
rnacentral:rRNA from 1 species